GUAGAACUGCGGAUCCGUUCCGUAAUUACUGAUGCUGCUUUUCAGCUUGUAAUGCAAUCAAUAACGGAACGGACUCGCAGUAGAAAUAUUCAGUAUUGUGGAGGUUAAGAUAAACAAGUUUCAUAGAUAAUUAUGGAUCAAACAUAGCGUGAUAUGGAGAUUGUGAUUUUAACAAAAGUUGUAAAAUAUGUAAUAGAAUCUUCUGAAAGUUCUUCAGAUAGCGAAGAAGAUGAUAUAUUUUUAAGGACUCUUAAUAGAAAUUUGACUCCACGUUUUCGUUGCAAGGACUAUGUUGAAAGUGUUAUACCAUUGUAUACAGACGAGGAAUUUCAAAUGCACUUUCGGUACAGAAAACAAUAUACAAUUUUUACCUAAUGUACAUCAAACGCAUGUAAAAGAAAUAUGAUAAAAUGUGCCAUUGAUUAUUAAAAAAAAAAAGUAAUAUCAAGAAAAUGGAAUUUAUUGUUUCAGACUUAAACGAAGUACUUUUCAAUUCUUAUUUAAAUUAUUAAAUCCUAAAUUAAAUAAACAAAAUAAAAUAAAAAUAAAAUAAUUAUAAAAGUAAAAUAAUUAUUGAUUAUUACAAACUUAUACCUGUAUGUGCUUUUUCAGCAUCUUCACGACUAACUGUUACAUUAUAUAUUUUAUUACUUUCUGAACAUAUGAGGCUUAACGUCUCAUCACAGAGCGCCGCCAUUUUUUCACUGCUGGUGUCUUACCUCGCCAGCCGCAGUAACGAAAGCAGGAAAUUACGUCAAAAUAUAUGACGUCACGUGUUAACGAAAGUACAUUGAAAGCUUACUGCGACGUAUUUCGGAACGACUUUGCAGUACUGCAAGUACUGACAGUGAGUUUCGGAACGCAGCCACAAUCACUCCCCUCAUCUCUUGGUCUUCACCCCCGCAACAAUUCGCCCCGUCCAUUAUGCUUACGUCCACAGGUGUAAUAAAUUGAAGUGAGACAAAUAUGUUUUCUCACUUAAACUUUUUGCACUAGUUCAGCAGUGCAGCUACAAAGAACAAGCCUUGUGAUUCAGUGAGAAACAUUUCAUUAGACGAAAUAUUUUCUUAAACUUGAAAAGAAGAAUGUCGGAUGAUUUAUUAGCCAAGGAAAAAGAAUUUCAUAAAUUGAAUCAAGAACUUCAACUAAAGAAGUAUGAUGUAAUGAAGAAAAUGAGCUUCUUUACACAUGCUAAUACUACUAAUGAAUCGUUCAACAAUAUAAAGCAAUAUAUAAAUCCUACGAUGAAAGAUGUAAGAACAACAUAUCUAAGAGAUAAAACAUCAAGCACAGACAAACAGUUAAGAAAAUCAUCACCUGAGGUUUCUGAAGUUCUGUCUAUAGAAAAUAUUGCUGACACUGAGAUUUCAUUAAAAAAGUAUAAUAAUUUAGGAAAUGAAGCUAUUAUUAAAUUGCUUAAAGGCAAGAUAGAUAUGUUAUAUAAGGAACUACAAACAAUACAACAUGAAUAUAACAAUGAGUGUGGAUAUUCUAAAGAAUUAGAGGUGAAAAAUAAAAAACUUAAUGAGACUCAAGUUAAACUACACAGCCAGAUAGGAUCAUUAAGUGAUACAAUUACAAAGUUGCAAGAUAUAAAUCAUGAUAUUCUCUCAAAGUAUCAAGGUUUGAGUAACGAGAAUAUUGUCUUGAAGAAGGAUUUACAUAAUCUUAAUAAAAAAAUAAAGAUAUCACAUAAACAAUCAUUUAAUUGUGAUAUACGACUAAAUAGAUCUCUCGAAAAUAAUGAAAAGCUCAGGAGCAUGUUAAAAUCUAGUCAGGUAGAGGAAAAGGGAUUAAGGAAUCAAAUUAAAAAAUUACAAGAAGAUAAAAAUUUAGCCAUACAAAAUUUAGAAAAACAGCAAAUGGAAUUAGUGCAAGCAUUUAGAAAACAAAUACUGCUCAUAGAUAAUUUAAAACAACAAAAUAUAUAUUUAAUAGCAAGUGGGAAAAUACAUUUAACAGGAGCAGACUUUACGAAAUUACUGGAGUGGAAACCUUAGUAACUCUGAGAUGUAUAUAAAACAUUUAUUGAAUAACUGUUACUAUUCAUACAUUGUGAAAGAUGAAAUUAAUUCCAUUUCAUAGCCAUUUAUAUCUUACAAUAUUAUAUUACAGCACAUAUUAAUUGAUAUACAUCUUUUUGCAGAAAGCUUGUAUAUAGCACCUGUGUGUGUGUGUAUGUGUAUGUAUAUAUAGGUGCGUGUUAGAUGCGUGUGUAUAUAUGUGUGUGUACAUGUAUUUCACACAUUAUGUAUUAAAAUUACGCAUAUCACUGGAUUUAGAUAUUCUAUACUUUUUCAGUAUAGAUUUGUUUAUUUCAUGAAACUUUUCUGUAUAUGAUUUGACAUCAACAUUAUGUUUCACUUCAUAAUCACAGCAAUUGAUCAGUUUCAUAUAAAAUAACAAAUGUAUUUAUUCAAAUAAACUAUAGAAUUUGCAGAUUUUUUAACACAGUUAUAAAAAAAUAAAAUUACUGGCAGUCGCAUUAGAAAUCUUAUAUUUGGGGUACACGCGACAAUUAUUUUCUCGCAUACAAACAGGAUAUAACGAUAGAUAUAAGUUGAUUCCGAAGUUUUUCCCUAUAGAAUAUACAUUUGACAUCAUAUUUUUAUUUGAAAAAUGCUUUAUUUAUAUCAACAUUGAAAUGUUGAUAUAAACAAUUAUUCAAUGUUUAUAGGAAGACCUGUGAGUCAAACUUAUAAAAAAGUUACAAUUUAAAGUUAUCAGUAAAAAUGCAUAUUUUUCUCCCGUUGUGAUUGUAUCAAAUUCAAGUUUCUUUACUUUUAAUAACUUUAAAUAUUUUGUCUAAUUUAUUUAUAUAAUUCCUGUUUUGUGAAGAAAUAAAUCAUAAGGUAUAACUGCACAAUUAAAAGAUUAAUUUACGUUGUAUAUAAAUUAAUUAUUUGUUCUUAUGGAUCUGACAUAAAAAAUGCCUUGCGAUGGAUUUUUCGAGUUUAAAGACAUAUGCGGACUCGUCAAAAAGCGUCGAUGAAAUUUUAUUGAAGAGUAAAUAUAGAUUAGAAAAUAUUUCUGUAAUGGGAAGGAGGGGGAAUUUAGUCUAAAUUCCUUAGCCUAGAUGAUGUACUAUCGCACGUCUACAUUUACAAAAGUGAUUAAACUUAUUUGCAAAAGAAAUUUAUUAAGAUUUCUUAUUUGCAAACAGCAAUAUUAAAUAAUAAUGAAUAUCACAAGAAUAUGGAUAAAGACUGCGUGAUAUAGUCAAUAUCCCUCUGCACAACCUAGCUUGUGAGUACAUUACGUUUAAUAGUUUUAUAAUUUGAAUUCAUAAUACAUUUUAUUUAAUAAAAUACAUUAAUAUGUUUUUGUUUGUUCGUGUGUUUUUCUGUAGCUAAAUACGUGAUGUUAUCACUUGUCUCACAGACAAGUAUUACAAUUUAGUAAUACAAUUUAAUUACAGUAAUUCUCAAUUUAUUUUUCUUUCUCAUCAGCCUUUUUAUCAUUGACAAUAUGCUAUGGGAAAAUGUUUUUACUAUUUGAACAUACAUACAUACAUAUAUAUAUAUAUAUGCGUGUGUGUGUGUGUGUGUACAUACAUACACACUUAAAAUUUUCUAAAGUCGCAUUUGUUUUUAUGCAUAUUGAAUUUUAAAACACAACCUCGAAAUAAUCGUACAUCUUCAAGCCUUUAAAGUUACUGGAUUUGCUACACCGAUUUCUAUUGAGGGCACUGAGUGCAAGAUUCAUUAAGCACCAUUCGUGUCUGCUUUUUUUAGUUAUAUAUGCCACAGACAUUUAUUAUUGUUAUUGUACUUCGAAUAUCAAACAUUUCAAACUACUGCAGUAAUAAAUUUUAUAAAAAUCUAAACAAGUUUCUAUUCGUGAUUAAUAAUUUGGAAAUUAAUCGACAUAUUGAUUUCAAACUCUACUUUAACUCAAAGAUAUAAACGAGAUCAUUACCUCUCGAGGACGUUCCGCAUUUUUUUAAUGAUCUCGUAAUUAGUGAGUUAUAUGUAUUUAUAUUAAUAUUAACGUAUUUUAGAUCUUUAAUAGGAAAUUAUUAUAAUGUAUGUCUGACUUAUAUUUUUCUAACAAAUAUUUUGUCUAGGACCACUUAAGAGACGAAAUUAUAUUCUAUGCGGAAACAAAAAAUUGCUAGAUUGCAGUGAUAGAUUUGUAUUCAUUAACAUAAAAUUUUCUGGUCUUAAAAUUGUCUGUCAUGAGAGAUAGAUUUGCUAAAAUGCAUUACUAUCUAUGCGCUCACAAAAUUUUUUACAAAUUUUCUUAUAUAUCUUAUUGUCAUGUUAUGACUUCUUUAUAUAAUUGAUUACAAUUUACAAUGAUCUUUUUGAUGUAACAUUAGACAUAACAUGGUCUUAAUUUUCUCCAUUAUUUCGCACAUCUUUUACUUCAUGAAAAAUAAUGCUUUAACAUUCUAAUUUUCUAAAACUGAAAAUAUACAUCAGCAACAAAUUAAAAGCAUAAAUAUGUUUUUAUUAUUUUAUAAUUUUCUAUAGAUAAUUAAAAAAUCUCUGAUUAAUUAAUUGAUUACACCCUGUACUCUGCGACAUUACAAAAAGCUCCACUUUAUAUGAAAAACAGCACAGAUAGUAACACACUUAACAUUUCAUAAUAAUUAAGAGAAAUAAUUUUGCUAACAGCACACAUACACACACACACACAUAUGUAUAUAUAUACAUAUGUAUGUAUGUGAAUGCGCGUGCGCGCACGCACGUGUGUGUAUAUAUAUAUAUAUAUAUGUGUGUGUAUGUAUGUGUGUGUAUAUAUAUAUGUGUGUGUGUGUGUGUGUGAGUGUGUGUAUGUAUAUAUAUAUAUAUAUAUAUAUAUAUAUAUAUAUAUAUAUAUAUACAUAUAUAACCCCAGACUUUAAAUGCGACCAGAAGGACAAUAAUGUACAAAGGCAUCCAUGUACAGAAAAAAAAGCACGAGAAUUAACUUCGAGACUUAAAUAAAUAGUAUGAUACGUGUGUAGCAAUGAUAAUGUAAGGUUCUCUUUAUUAUGCAUAUAUGGUUGCUGCUGUAUCGUUGUCCUAAAUCGACUGAUCAUGCCAGAUAGCUAUAAGUAUCUUUUUGACCUUCUGUGCGCUCCAAAUACUCUUUUUCAAUUAAAAUAUCUAUACAUUUCUGAAAAAUAGAAUCCAUCCUUUUAAGAAAGAAUUAAUAUUAUAUUAAAUAUAUAUUAUAUUAAAUAUAUAUUAUAUUAAAUAUAUAUUAUAUUAAUAAUAUAUAAAACAAUAUUUUUACACAUAUUUAUAGUUAAAGGCUCCUGAAAAUAAUAAUCUUUUGUAGAAAGAAAAUUUAAUUAAUAAAUACCUUAAUAACAUGCACUCUUGGCUUGAAUCUAGAACUUAAUUGAUUCAAAACUUCUGCUACCAAUUGUUGAUGUUUUAAUACUUUCCGCAUUUUCAUAAUUCUAACGAUCGCUGCCUGAAUUAAAAGUUUUCUGUCUUCUUCUAUGUGUUUGUGCGUAGUCUCUUGUUCAACUUUUAAUUCCGUUUUCAUCGGUAUAUUAAUAUUCACCCUUAAUUUCUUACUAUUAAACAAAUAACAUAAUUAGAUAAAUUGUUAAUAACAGUUAAUUACAUGCAUGUAAAAGAAACAUACUUCUUGUAUCCCGUAAAAAGUUCUACCGUUGAUAGCGGGGUCAAUUCAGCUACAUCAUCGCUAGCUGCAGUUAAAAGUUUGGCUUUCAAAAGUAUUUGAAUAACCUGCAAAACAUAACUUUAAAUCUUUUGUUACUUUGCUACUUUCACUAUUACAUUACCUGUAGUAAAAAAUCCAUUUUUAUCUGUGUUGCAUAAUGAAGUUGUUGUAUUGUCCAUGAUGUAGAUCCAUUAUAUUGUAGCAAAACUGCCAUUUGGAAAGUCGAGGCUUGCAAUGUGUACCUGUUCUUAAAACAGUUAGUAUGUAGUUCCCCUUUAGACAUAUUGUAUAACCAAUUUAACUUUCUGCCACUAUGUUGUGAGCUGUAGAAAGUAGUAAACCUAUGUACAGAUCGUUCUAGCUGUAAGAUAAGAAUAAAGGAUCAUGAAUGAGCAAUUGAUAAACAUCUGAAAUUCUGAGUGUUCAAUCGAUCAAUCAGUUUGUUUUGACAAAUGCUUUUUACCUCUGUCGGCAAAGAAAAUGUGAAGGAUUGUUGAAAUGGCCAUGAACCAGAAGAUAAAACUUGUAUACUGAAAUCCACAUCCAAUGGUUCAGCAGAUCUUACCAAAUGUCUUCUGAACUGUUCGUUUAGAUCUUUUGAUACACCAAUAUCCUGUGAAGAGACUGCUAUAAUCACAUUGACUUAUGCUUCGAAUAAUUUUUAAUAACAAAAGUUAGUAAUCAUUAAUAAAAUAUUAGAUAAAAUCAUGAAAUUCGCAUUUCUAGUUAAUAUCUAAUUAAUUUUAAUUUAGAAAUUAAAUUUCUAAUUAAUAUACUAUGGAAAGCUACCUGAAACAUGCGUUGUAACUUUGAAGUAUAUUCAAAUCCACAAGCUUGUUUUAACUUAGAGAUCAUGGAAGCCUCUGCGUCAUCACUGGCAGACAUAUGUUGUACCAAUCGUUUCGCCAACAUUUUGCUAUAGAACUUCUGAAAUACAUCUUUGUCUUCGAUGUAUUUAAAUACUACCAUCUACACAAAUGAGAUUAUAAAUACAAUUAACAAAUAUCUUUUGCAGAAAAACAUGAACAAAAACAAAUACUUUAUUACAAAUGUACUUACGACUUGAUUGAGAGUAUCUUCAAGUUCUGCUUCUUCUGGAUUUUUACUGCUUUUCUUCAAUAACAAGUCACAGUACUUUGCUAAUAAUUCAGGUGACUUACUACUACUGUUUGCUGCUCUUGUAACUGAAUUAGCAUUAAUAAAUCGACCACAAGCUUUAUCCAGAGCUGCUACAAAACCGCUAUCGUUGUUAAAGGCGACAAGCACUAAAGCAUUAUACUUUUUGUGCACUUCCAAAAUUGUGUUCACAUAAACUUUUGGAUCCUGAAUACAAAAACAGUUGUUAAUAUUCAAAUUAGAAGUUUCGUAUAGUUGUAAUUACAUUAAAUAAAAUAUGUACAUUAGCAGCAGAGUCGCCACAUUUAUCUAUAGCCGCAAGCCCUUGAUUAGCUAUAUGAGUUUCUAAAAGAUUUCUCAAUUCUCCAAGGCCAUUCGGUAUUCUCGCUACUAGUUGGUACAUUCUACCUAAAUCUGUAUUUUUAUCAGCAUUCAAAAGAUUCUGGAACUCAGAAUGAAAUAUAUCCAGAUGUUUUUCAAUAAGCACUCUUUCACAUGUUUUCGCUAAUCGUUCAUGAGUUGUCUGAUGUAGGUAAACACGAACUCGUUUUUGUUCUUCCAAUAACCUCUGUUCCGCCUACACAAAAAAAGAAAAAAAAUAUAUAUAUACAUAGUCUAAGAAACAUUUCUUACAUGUUUGUUCAAUGCUCAUACUUUUUUCAUAUAUUCUGUUACAGGAUUUUGUCUGAGAAAAUUUAAACUCUCAUUGGAAUAGAAACGUUCUGUAUCUUCAAGGAAUUGAUUUUCAAAGGAAUCUUUAUACACUGUUAGAUUUUGUCCUUUAGCACCUGGAUCUUCUUCAUUUAAACCCAAUUCCACAUAACAAUUGAUGACACCGCUAACUAGUCGGGCCCGGAGGACCUCCAUGAUGACUUCCAGCUCCUCCACUGCUUCUAUGUCCGGACAUUCUGUUUCUAUAUGUUUGUCGAGUGAGCGUCACUGUUACUACGUACUAUUAUAAUUUCUAUAGAAAUAAAAAAACAAAAUUAAUACUCAACAUUGUAAAUAAAGUUAUUUGAUUAGA